rnacentral:rRNA from 1 species
AGGGGGGGUGCUAUACAUGCAAGUCGAGCGCGGGAAGCGAGUGGAUCCCUUCGGGGUGAAGCUCGUGGAACGAGCGGCGGACGGGUGAGUAACACGUGGGCAACCUGCCUGUAAGAUCGGAAUAACCCCGGGAAACCGGGGCUAAUGCCGGGUAAUACUUUCUUUCGCAUGAAGGAAAGUUGAAAGAUGGCUUCUUGCUAUCACUUACAGAUGGGCCCGCGGCGCAUUAGCUAGUUGGUGAGGUAACGGCUCACCAAGGCGACGAUGCGUAGCCGACCUGAGAGGGUGAUCGGCCACACUGGGACUGAGACACGGCCCAGACUCCUACGGGAGGCAGCAGUAGGGAAUCUUCCGCAAUGGACGAAAGUCUGACGGAGCAACGCCGCGUGAACGAUGAAGGUCUUCGGAUCGUAAAGUUCUGUUGUUAGGGAAGAACAAGUACCGUGCGAAUAGAGCGGUACCUUGACGGUACCUAACGAGGAAGCCCCGGCUAACUACGUGCCAGCAGCCGCGGUAAUACGUAGGGGGCAAGCGUUGUCCGGAAUUAUUGGGCGUAAAGCGCGCGCAGGCGGUUCCUUAAGUCUGAUGUGAAAGCCCACGGCUCAACCGUGGAGGGUCAUUGGAAACUGGGGAACUUGAGGACAGAAGAGGAGAGUGGAAUUCCACGUGUAGCGGUGAAAUGCGUAGAUAUGUGGAGGAACACCAGUGGCGAAGGCGACUCUCUGGUCUGUUUCUGACGCUGAGGUGCGAAAGCGUGGGUAGCAAACAGGAUUAGAUACCCUGGUAGUCCACGCCGUAAA